rnacentral:lncRNA from 1 species
UGUCAUCAUCAUCACCAUCGUCAUUAUCUAGUGCUAAUAUAAUAACUAUUACUUACCUCCUAAAUGUUUUUCACAUCUGCCUCCUUUUCCUCCCCACUCCUGAUGCCUUAGUCUAAGGGAAUGAAGAGAGCACUGCAGUCAGAGAAACCUGGGUUCUGAGAGAUCUUGGGCAAAUUACUUACCCUCACAACUUCUUUACCUUACCUGUAAAAUGGAGAUGUUAACACUAGUGCCACUUUGGUAGGGUUGCUAUUGCAUAAACAAAAUUAAGUAUGUAAUGGGCUUAGGAAAUGCCUGGUUUAAUUCGUCUGCUGUGAUUAAAAUGAUCAUUAUUAUUCAAACUUUCAUCAUCUUUGUUCAAUAGACUGUUUCUAACUGGUCUCAGCUGCAGCGUUGUUCUCUUUAAUUCGCAGAAGUACAGAGGAUUUCUCCAAGUACAUAUGAGAUCCAGAGACUAGAGUCACUCCUUGGCUUAGAAUCCAUGUGGCUCCCACAUGCCCUCUGGAUAAAGUCCAGGCUUCUUAAUGUGGUCUACAAGCCCCAUCCAGAUCUACUCCCCACCUGCUUCCAUCCAUUUAUUUCAGCAUUUUCUCUCUCUUAGCCAAUACCUAAUUACUUAUUUUUCUGCCCAUUUCCAGAUUCCCAACAUGCCAUCUAUAGCCUCCCUGAUCUUGAACCGGAGGUGUAAUUAGCAACCUGGCUCUUACAUUUUUACUAGAUUUUAUUAAAACUAGCUCAAGCCACACAUGCUCCUUCUCUGAGGUUUCCCUUUCAUAUUGAAUUGUCUCUAAGUCCUCUGGAUUUGUGGGGGUACAAGUGGGAUGGGGAGCGCUCCCUGACUUCUGCAUACCAGCAGGAAGUUAGCUACCUCAUUGUUUCUUGCUGCUACGAGGGUUGCAGUCAAAUCACUGUCCCUCCAGAGGUCCUCAACGGCAUAAGAAGACUCAGUGCCAAGGGACUCAAGGACUUCAUCAUCAAAGUCCUGUGCCGGCUAGCUUCCAGUUGUAUUGAGUCAAUGGAGAAUCUGGCAGAUUGGAGGAAGGAGAAGGUCAUGAUCAUCUGGCAAUUAAAGAAAUGGCCAGACUGCCUCCCACUCUGAGGACCCUUGGCUACCUGACACGUAAUUCCAGAGACCACAGUAGUCAGUGCUGGCAAGAUUCCAGAGCCCAGAAGAAGGUAAGAGGCCCUCCUGAUAAAAAUUGGCCUUCAUGAGAAUACUCCCCUAUGGGUGGGCCUCAUCUGGCAUUUUGAUGUUAAACAAGACUGAAGGCUAACCUUAUAGGCAAGUUGAAAAAAUCAGAGUGGUUAAGAAUUGCUGACAAAGGUUUGACAUUGUGCCCUAAGCAUUUAUUUUGUAGACUUUUUUUAAAAAAAGCUUUAAAAAUAGUAAAAAUAAAAUAAAAUAGUAAAGAUAGCAGUUGGCUGCUGCUAAGUUUUGCUAUUCUUAAAAAGUUAUACUUGGAUAAAUAAAGUAUAACUUAAAUAGAAUAAAUAAAUAACAGUAAAUAAAACUGACUUUAUCUGGAUGUGGGGCAAAAUAUGGGCUUUUUGGUCUGGUUGUGUCACUGUAACUCUUUUGGGUAGUCAGUGAAUGAUCCUCUCACGGACUGAAUCUGCACAUUUCAAAUUAUGAAAAGUUUCACAGACAUUGAAAUUCAAAAGUAAGAACCAAACUACAUAUCUAAUUCAAAUGGAAACAAUUUUGUGGCGCUCUACUUUCUCUUCACUUUAGUGCAGAUAUUUGGGAAUUAGCUAUGGAAGCAGGGGAUUUUCACACAUUUUAUUUUAACCACUACAUAUAAACAAAAUAGGCUGAGAGAAUUUGCAGCUUAAAAUCAGAAAACUCUGCCUUGAAUUUUAUUGUUCCCAAAAUGAAAAUUAGUGUUAAAAAGAAGAAGUCAUUGUAUUCUUCUAACAUAUAUAACAGAAAAUUAAGUAA